rnacentral:rRNA from 1 species
UACGAGGGGGGCAAGCGUUGUUCGGAAUUAUUGGGCGUAAAGGGUGCGUAGGCGGUGCGGUAAGUCUGUUGUGAAAUCUCCGGGCUCAACUCGGAGUCUGCAUCAGAAACUGCCGUGCUUGAGUGUGGGAGAGGUGAGUGGAAUUCCCGGUGUAGCGGUGUAAUGCGUAGAUAUCGGAAGGAACACCUGUGGCGAAAGCGGCUCACUGGACCACAACUGACGCUGAGGCGCGAAAGCUAGGGGAGCAAACAGG